rnacentral:rRNA from 1 species
AUUGAACGCUGGCGGCAGGCCUAACACAUGCAAGUCGAGCGGAGCGGCGGACGGGUGAGUAAUCCCUAUGAAUCUGCCUGGUAGUGGGGGAGAACGUCCGGAAACGGUCGCUAAUACCGCAUCCCAUCAUAUGUGACUAGGUCGGCUUAGCUAGUUGGUUGGGGAAGGCCUAGCAAGCCGACGUUCCGUAACUGUUCUGAGAGGAUGAUCAGUCACACUGGAACUGAGACACGGUCCAGACUCCUACGGGAGGCAGCAGUGGGGAAUAUUGGACAAUGGGCGAAAGCCUGAUCCAGCCAUGCCGCGUGUGUGAAGAAGGGCUUCGGAUUGUAAAGCACUUGAAGUUGGGAGGCGUUACCAACAGAAUAAGCACCGGCUAACUUCGUGCCAGCAGCCGCGGUAAUUC